rnacentral:rRNA from 1 species
AUUGAACGCUGGCGGCAGGCCUAACACAUGCAAGUCGAACGAGUGGCGGACGGGUGAGUAAUGUCUGGGACACUGCCUGAUGGAGGGGGAUCACUACUGGAAACGGUCGCUAAUCCCGCAUACCCUGAUAUGUGCCCAGAUGGGAGUCGCUUGUUGGUGGGGUAACGGCUCACCAAGGCGACGAUCCCUAGCUGGUCUGAGAGGAUGACCAGCCACACUGGAACUGAGACACGGUCCAGACUCCUACGGGAGGCAGCAGUGGGGAAUAUUGGACAAUGGGCGAAAGCCUGAUCCAGCCAUGCCGCGUGUGUGAAGAAGGUCUUCGGAUUGUAAAGCACUUUAAGUUGGGAGGCGUUACCAACAGAAUAAGCACCGGCUAACUUCGUGCCAGCAGCCGCGGUAAUAC